CGGAUCCCUCCGGGGAUGCCGGCGACCGGCGAACGGGUGAGUAACACGUAUGGAACCUACCCUUAACUGGGGAAUAGCCUUGAGAAAUCGAGGGUAAUACCCCAUAUUAUCUUAAAGAGGCAUCUCUUUCAGAUGAAAGCUCCGGCGGUUAAGGAUGGCCAUGCGGUCCAUUAGCUUGUUGGUGAGAUAACCGCCCACCAAGGCUACGAUGGAUAGCUGAUCUGAGAGGAUGAUCAGCCACAUUGGCACUGAGACACGGGCCAAACUCCUACGGGAGGCAGCAGUAGGGAAUCUUGGUCAAUUGGCGAAAGCCAGAACCAGUCAUGCCGCGUGCAGGAUGAAGGCCCUACGGGUCGUAAACUGCUUUUAUUCGGGAAGAAAAAGUCUGUUUCCACAGACCUUGACGGUACCGAUUGAAUAAGGACCGGCCAACUCCGUGCCAGCAGCCGCGGUAAUACGGAGGGUCCAAGCGUUAUCCGGAUUCACUGGGUUUAAAGGGUGCGCAGGCGGCCAAGUAAGUCAGUGGUGAAAGCCUUCGGCUCAACCGGAGAAUUGCCAUUGAAACUACUUGGCUUGAGUGCAGCAGAGGUAGGCGGAAUGUAGCAUGUAGCGGUGAAAUGCAUAGAUAUGCUACAGAACACCGAUAGCGAAAGCAGCUUACCACACUGUAACUGACGCUGAGGCACGAAAGCAUGGGUAGCAAACAGGAUUAGAUACCCUGGUAGUCCAUGCCGUAAACUUUGAACACUCGGAGUUUGCCACUUAGUGGUAAGCUCCCUAGCGAAAGCGUUAA
rnacentral:rRNA from 1 species